GAUGAACGCUGGCGGCGUGCCUAAUACAUGCAAGUCGAGCGAACAGACGAGAGUGCUUGCACUCUCUGACGUUAGCGGCGGACGGGUGAGUAACACGUGGGUAACCUACCUAUAAGACUGGGAUAACUUCGGGAAACCGGAGCUAAUACCGGAUAAUAUUUAGCUUCGCAUGAAGCAAUAGUGAAAGACGGUUCUGCUGUCACUUAUAGAUGGACCCGCGGUGGAUUAGCUAGUUGGUGAGGUAACGGCUCACCAAGGCCACGAUACAUAGCCGACCUGAGAGGGUGAUCGGCCACACUGGGACUGAGACACGUCCCAGACUCCUACGGGAGGCAGCCGUAGGGAAUCUUCCGCAAUGGACGAAAGUCUGACGGAGCAAUGCCGCGUGAGUGAAGAAGGUUUUCGGAUCGUAAAACUCUGUUGUAAGGGAAGAACAAGUACGUUAGUAACUGAACGUACCUUGACGGUACCUUACCAGAAAGCCACGGCUAACUACGUG
rnacentral:rRNA from 1 species